rnacentral:tRNA from 1 species
GUAGAUAUAGUUUAAUCAAAACGCUAGAUUGUGAUUCUAGAAACAGAGGUUAAAGCCCCCUUAUCCACC